UAGGCUCUGUGCACGCAACUAAGGAGUUCUACUUCCGCCGCCUUGAGUGUAGGGCCGACCGUUUCCGGUCUUAAGAUAUGAAGUAAGGAUGAUAUGAAUCAUGGCGCUGUUUUACACCCAAUUUCUGCAAGAUCUACCAAAGUUAACAAUUACCGACGAUCACCGGCUAGUACAAGCGGCAUGCUCAGCCCCGAGGAGCAAAAAGGAAAAGGAUUAUUAAGUUACAUCGACAACUAUGAAGAUUGUCUUUGACGACUGCUCACCAGUUGACAUUUCAGUGGCAGACUGUUCCUGUGUGGCUGGAAGAGCACCCGACUGAGAGCCCACCCUUCCG